GAUGAACGCUGGCGGCGUGCCUAAUACAUGCAAGUCGAGCGAACAGACGAGGAGCUUGCUCCUCUGACGUUAGCGGCGGACGGGUGAGUAACACGUGGAUAACCUACCUAUAAGACUGGGAUAACUUCGGGAAACCGGAGCUAAUACCGGAUAAUAUAUUGAACCGCAUGGUUCAAUAGUGAAAGACGGUUUUGCUGUCACUUAUAGAUGGAUCCGCGCCGCAUUAGCUAGUUGGUAAGGUAACGGCUUACCAAGGCGACGAUGCGUAGCCGACCUGAGAGGGUGAUCGGCGACAUGGGAACGGAGACACGGUCCAGACUCCUACGGGAGGCAGCAGUAGGGAAUCGGCCGCAAUGGGCGAAAGCCUGACGGAGCAACGCCGCGUGAGUGAUGAAGGUCUUCGGAUCGUAAAACUCUGUUAUUAGGGAAGAACAAAUGUGUAAGUAACUAUGCACGUCUUGACGGUACCUAAUCAGAAAGCCACGGCUAACUACGUG
rnacentral:rRNA from 1 species